rnacentral:snoRNA from 1 species
GCAUCAGGUAGGAUAAUCCUUACCUGUUCCUCCUCUUGGAGGGCAGAAUAAAUGUGAUUUGAUACUUUAGAGGUGGGAAAGCUCCCUCACAAUCUUAGAGAGAGGUAUUACCUUGUAUGUCGUGAAAAUUAUGAU